rnacentral:rRNA from 1 species
GAAUUGUUCACAAUGGGCGCAAGCCUGAUGACGCAACGCCGCGUGGGGGAUGAAGGUCUUCGGAUCGUAAACCCCUGUCGAAUGGGACGAAAGACUCGCGAGUUAAUACUCCGCGAGAGUGACGGUACCGUUAAAGGAAGCCACGGCUAACUCUGUGCCAGCAGCCGCGGUAAUACAGAGGUGGCAAGCGUUGUUCGGAAUUACUGGGCGUAAAGGGCGCGUAGGCGGCCCACUAAGUCAGACGUGAAAUCCCCCGGCUUAACAUGGGAACUGCGUCUGAUACUGGAGGGCUUGAGUAUGGGAGAGGGAGGUAGAAUUCCAGGUGUAGCGGUGAAAUGCGUAGAUAUCUGGAGGAAUACCGGUGGCGAAGGCGGCAUCCUGGACCAUUACUGACGCUGAGGCGCGAAAGCUAGGGGAGCAAACGGG